rnacentral:rRNA from 1 species
AUGCAAAGACAUCUAGACGAGAAAGUAAAGAAGUCCCAAAGUCAUGGCUGCAGGAAAGUGGACGCACUUAGGAAUAAGUGGGAGGUCAAUGUGCGAGCCAAGUACGUUAAGGGUCACCAGAAAGGAUCAAAAAAGCAAGCUGUCACCCUUGGCUCAACCUCCUGUGAGUGCACUUGUAACAAGCCCAAGCUUAAGGGCUACCCUUGCAGUCAUGUGCUCCGGGCGGCUGCUGAUCAAAAAAUCAGCGUCGAGCCAUACAUAUCGCCGUACUUCAACAUGUACAAUCUGUACAACACUUGGAAUGGUGAGUUCUGGGCUUGGGGCAUUGAUAUUAACUACAAAAUGUUGUGGCCAGAUGGGCCAAAAUGGGUUCCGAACGCCGACUUGAUGAGAACCGCAAAGGGACAACGUCAGUCUAGGCAUCAUCGCAAUGACAUGGACCAUAGCCAGAUGGGAGAACCAAGGUGA